ACUAUUAAUAUAUCAAUUGAAAGAAUAUGUAUUAUUUUGCAUCUAAAGUAAAAGAUGGUAAUAUAUUCUAUUCUGAUUCCUCUGUCUCUCAGUGGCUUUGUUAAACACGAAACAGGAGCAGGACAUUGUCUGGCGUAGAUAGCUACCCUCCCUGCAACGGAAGCUCAAGUUGGUCCCCUUUUGGAGCUGCUGCAUCUAGUUUUCUAGACAUAAAAGCUGAAGAAAGUCAUGGAAAUGGAGAUGUUAAUAUUGUUUUUUACUCUUAGUCUUCAAGUUUGACUUUUUCGUGAUGAUAUUUGGCAUUUUUGGUUAAAGGGCACUAAGAAAGAUUUGAACUUUCAAAAGAAUUGGACCAAAAUUAGGAUUCUAGAAGUGGACAAAAGUGUGAAAAAUUUUGAAUUCUUUUGCUGCUUUUUGGAGAAAGAGAAGAUGAUGUGUGCUUGUUCAAGAGAGCAAUUCAAAUUUGAUGAGCCAGCCCCAGAAUCUCCCGAGUCAUUGGCUACCCGGAAUUUUUCAGCCAGUGGCAUUUCUUCAAGAACUGGAACAAUAGAUUGGGAUUCAAAACUUGAUGAAGUUGAAUCAACUUUAAAGAGACACUUUCCUUGACCUAUGAGGAAAGAAGAGCAUUGUUGGGGAAGCUAGAAUAUCAAAGAGGGAACUUUGAUGCUGCCCUUCAAGUGUUUCAGGGACAAUCAAGACUGUUUAGAUUUAGCAGCAACUUACAGGUUAAUUGAUGAAGUGUGGCCUUUUGUUGUAGAGGUCUUCGUGUGAAGUGUCCUGAAUGUUGAUACAUUUGCUAAUCUGUUUGUGAUUAUCUCUCUUACUGGUUGGGGUUUCUCCUUCUAUGGAGGUUAUAUGCUCUUCACAGGAGGAAAGCAAGAGAAGAAGGAAGAGGUACAUUUGUUCUGUUAUUCUUGUAUUGGAAUAUAUUGUAGCUAUUAAUAUUGUUUUAACACUUUGGUUGAAGCAAAUGGGAUAUUUAGUUUCUAUGUUCGUAUAGUGAGUCCAAUUUUUGUGCAAAUGGCAGUGCAAUAUGCUAAGAUUUUCAACUCCAUUUAACUGUUUUCUAGCAUUUCGCUGACUGAAAUUUGGACAGGUGUUCACCAUAUAAGAUUUGCUUGGUAUGUAGGAAAAUUGCCUUUCACAGAAAAUAGUUUCUUGGUAAGUAAACUAUAUUGUUCCGGAAGCAAGAGCAUUUAUAUAAUCUGAGCAAACAGUAUGAAAUGCGUGUUGGGGCAGGGUGGUGGGGUGGAAGUAUUGGUAUGGGGAGUGUGUAUCUUACUCACAAAUCAAUGAGUUGAACAAAGAAAAAAGAUAAAGACUGCAUCAAAGUGAUCCUUAUUGCUAAGCGUGCUUCUAUGGUGCAUAAUAGACAAACACUUGUAUGCAUAUUGGUUUUAACAAGGACAAGGUCUUGGUACUUCAAUUUUUUCUAUCACAUUGGGUAUCGCACCGUCCACCUUCACUAUUUGAUUAAAACAUUGUUUAGAAAGAGGAACUCUCCGUUUGAAUUAAAAAGGUAUACAUGGAGGAAUUGUUGGUCCAGUUAUUCGAUUUUGGCAAUCUAUUUUUAGGCUUAUUUUAAAACCAGUGAACACUUUGGUUUGGUAAAUAUGAGAUAAGAUAAUGUUAAUGAUUCUUUUCUCCUUUCAGUUCUCCUUCAUUGUCUUCUUCUUUUAGGUGUGUACUUGAUAGGUUAAAUGUGUAUCAAUAAUGACAAGUAUAAAAACGAAUAUGGGAGUAGUAUUUUAAUUAGCUAUCUUAAUUGUGAAGAUGAAGGAAAUGAGGAUUAGUGUGAAAUGUUGUGGGCAGAAACAAACAGAGAAACAAACAGAUAAGAACAAAGAGAUGGCCACACUUUCUGGCAGUAAUAAUGGCAAACAGAAAUGUAAGAGCGACAAGUGCAAAACUGAGGGAACAGAGAAAUACAAACCAAGGCCACAGUGGCAGCAUAGUCCGAGUAACCUUAUUCCGCGUAAUAGUCCUUUAUUCCUUUUUUUCGAUUCUCAUUCUGAUAGUAUAUGGUGAUUUUUGUAUGUGAGUAUAAUUUGUUUUAUAGAAGCUUAAAAAUUACAUUUGCUUUCUGCAAAAUUUUUAAAUAGAAGUUCCAAUUGACGAGUUAUCUCAGACGUUGCAAAGAGGGAGUUCUCCUAUUAGUUGUACGAGGAAGGUAAACAAGACUGAUAAGGUAACAGUGAGAGGUCAGCUUUUUUGAGACUCCGAAAAUUAUAACUCUCAAAAAAGUUGAGAUCGAGAUCGAAAUUGUUAUAUAACAGGCUUUAGUGAAAUGGAAUGGUGAUGGAAUAAAAGGUUUGUCCAGACUAGGACUAAGUAGCAAAAACAGGAGCAUUGCUUUAAUAUUCAGGUGCGUACUUGAAAGUUCAUUUGAUUUAUUUUUCAACUUCAUUGACUAAUGGAUAUUAUAGUUAUAGUUUAUUGAAGUGGGAAUGGUCACUACUUGACAUAAAAAUUUUGACAAUAUGUUCUCCCCAAUAUAUUGGGUAUUUUUAAGGUUCAAGUAUGAUAAUAUAUUCUUAUUCUAUAUUUUCCAAUGAACACAUGUUUUGGAACGAUUAACAAUUAGAACUAAUAUAACAAUUAACAUGAACAUAUAGUGUACUCACUUUGCAUCCCUUUAGAUGACGCGCUUACUAUUUAAAUUCAUUGACAUCGUUAAAUUUUGAUGGCUGAGGUUUUUAGUUAACACUAUAAGCAGAUAGUUGUGAUUUCUGCUGUCUCAUAACAUUUAGUUUUAUGAACACUAUUGACGCUUGGUAGAAUUUCUAACCUCAGUAUGGAAUUUCAGCUACUGAACCUUUGCAACAGCCAGUUCACUUUAUUGUUAUUGUGGAAGAGAAACUAGACCUGGAGGAUGUAGUCUGAGGAGUACUCACACGAACUUUACAACGAGGAACUCACUUUGAAGUGAUGAAUCAGAAACUUCACAUGAACUGUAGAAUAAGGGACUCACUUAGAAAUGACAAAUCAUAAACACUGAUAUUGAAAGUGAAGUUGUACCCUGAUGUUCUUUCAUUUGAAAAUGUUGUUCCUGCUCAAAUCUAGACUUUACUCUGUCAAACUUAAAUGGUUCAAUAUGGAAGUUAUGGAAAGGGAAUGUAUAUUGUGUUAUAAAAAAAGGGCAACCCGGUGCACUAAAGCUACCGUUAUGCGCGGUGUCCGGGAAGGGCCCCACCACAAGGGUGUAUCGUACGCAACCAUACCUUGCAUUUCGUUAGGAAAAAAAUAGUCAGUCUGUGCUUGAAUUAAAUGAGUAUUAAAUUUCAGAAAAUCUGUCCUUUUUUAUCUACAUUCGCAGUUAUUAGCCUCAUAUAGCCUAUAUAGGUAUUCUGAUGUCCUCGUAAGGACAAUUUAGAGUACAAGAAAUGUUUUGUUUUCUUGUCAAUUGUACCUGUUCAUUUCUCUAAUUGUUUCUUAAAUUCUUGUUGUAGAGUGGAAAAGCGCGUCUAGGUUAUAUCAUCUAUCACUAAAUCAAGUUUUCACCUGAAUGUCUUCUUGAUUGACUGGACUUGUCAUCAGAGCACCAUACUACCUUUCUCCGGAAGUUGCAAAUCUGCUGUUCAUGUUUGGAGACUCAAAAGCAGAAGAAACAUCCACAAUAAAAGAAACUUAAACACGAUUCAUGUUGAGGCAAGUUCAAUGGCCUUGUUGCAGAUGGUGAUGAGGAUCAAUAGCUGGCAGAAUGGGCAUAAGCACUCUUGCAUAGUCUCAGGCUCCGAUUCCCUGGUCUUUCUCAAACUGCACUUGACAGGAACAAAAUGCGAGUUUAACAAGGAUGUUGGGCAGUCAAUUCUCUAGAGCUACUCAAGGGUCAUGGAGAGUUUGGCAUUUAAUAUCAUGGCGAGGAUUGAUGAUGUACUGUACGUGGAUGAUGCAACAAAACAAUGUGCUGCAGCAGAGUCCAUAUCCCUUUUCAAUAGGGGAGGUUUGGGUGGUCUUCCAGUCCAAAAGCGGAUGUCACCAAGCCCCUUCUCUGUAAAGCAUUCCCCAAUUAACGUCUCCAUUUGUGGCCCAUGUAACUCAGUUUCUCCUUCUAAGGCUAGUUCAAAGGUGCCAUUUGUGAAACAGAGUAGUCACCCACAACAGUUGGUUUCAUAAACAAAUCAAAUCCCAACCCCACAAAUCAUUUGACAGUUGUGUUUAGACAUAGAACAGUUGUUAUGGAACCAAAUCGUAGGACGAUUAUUGUUAUGGAAGUCUUAUAAAAAUACCUUAAGGGACUUCUCUAAUGCA